rnacentral:rRNA from 1 species
UCGCCUUUUGUCUAACUAUAAGAGGUCAAGCCUGCCCAGUGACAUUGUUCAACGGCCGCGGUAUUCUAACCGUGCGAAGGUAGCGUAAUCACUUGUUUUUUAAAUGAGGACUAGUAUGAAUGGCUUCACGAAGGCUAUACUGUCUCCCUUAUCUAAUCAGUUAAACUAAUCUUCCCGUGAAGAAGCGGGAAUAAGCCUAUAAGACGAGAAGACCCUAUGGAGCUUUAAACACUUUCAAACAUUUGAUAUUUAACAUUUUAACUUUCAGUAAAACUUCAUUAAACCCAUCAAUUUGUUCUAAGUUUUAGGUUGGGGUGACCACGGAGAACAACCAAACCUCCACGUAGAAAGAAUCUCUCUCUAAGCAAAAAGCUACAGCUUUACGCAUCAAAAUACUGACCUUAAUUGACCCAAUUCUUUGAUCAACGAACCAA